AGUGAACGCUGGCGGUAGGCCUAACACAUGCAAGUCGAACGGCAGCACAGUAAGAGCUUGCUCUUACGGGUGGCGAGUGGCGGACGGGUGAGGAAUACAUCGGAAUCUACUUUUUCGUGGGGGAUAACGUAGGUAAACUUACGCUAAUACCGCAUACGACCUACGGGUGAAAGCAGGGGAUCUUCGGACCUUGCGCGAUUGAAUGAGCCGAUUUCGGAUUAGCUAGUUGGCGGGGUAAAGGCCCACCAAGGCGACGAUCCGUAGCUGGUCUGAGAGGAUGAUCAGCCACACUGGAACUGAGACACGGUCCAGACUCCUACGGGAGGCAGCAGUGGGGAAUAUUGGACAAUGGGCGCAAGCAUGAUCCAGCCAUACCGCGUGGGUGAAGAAGGCCUUCGGGUUGUAAAGCCCUUUUGUUGGGAAAGAAAAGCAGCAGGUUAAUACCCCGCUGUUCUGACGGUACCCAAAGAAUAAGCACCGGCUAACUUCGUG
rnacentral:rRNA from 1 species